rnacentral:rRNA from 1 species
ACAUGCAAGUCGAACGGAAAGGCCUCUUCGGAGGUACUCGAGUGGCGAACGGGUGAGUAACACGUGGGCAAUCUGCCCUGCACUUCGGGAUAAGCCUGGGAAACUGGGUCUAAUACCGGAUAGGACCUCAAGACGCAUGUCUUCUGGUGGAAAGCUUUUGCGGUGUGGGAUGGGCCCGCGGCCUAUCAGCUUGUUGGUGGGGUGACGGCCUACCAAGGCGACGACGGGUAGCCGGCCUGAGAGGGUGUCCGGCCACACUGGGACUGAGAUACGGCCCAGACUCCUACGGGAGGCAGCAGAAGGG